UGGUUGGAAGAGCCUGAUUCUAAAAGAGAAGCUGGCAAAGAAUAUAUAAUGUAUAUUAUUACCAUUUUUUGGUUCAUCAAAGACAUCAGAAGAGGUGGUCAGUAGACACCUAUAUUUUAUGCAGGUAGCUCUCCAAUUGUUUACUCCCCCAUUUCUAUCAUUUGACAAGAGUUGACCACAGUAAGAUGCAUCUAUUCUAGUUUAUAUGUAGUAGACAACUAACUUUUUGUCUAAGGGUUUCAAAGUUCGAGUAAUCGAAAAGCUACCAUUUAAUCUGCCUGGAAAUUAGGCUUCCUUUUUCUCUUUCUUUUCUUACCCCAAAAGAGGAAUGAUAACAAGAUUGCUUGACAAUUACCUUACCAGCUGGUCCCUAUUUGGUGUUAAAAGGCAAAUUGUUUUUUGAAUGCAUCUGGCUUGUCUGCGAACUUAUGCGAUUAUGCCUAUAGUGGCUUGCAUGCUAUGUUUAACUAUGUCAUUGUCUCCUUCCUGCAUGGAGAGUUCUCUAAAAAACUUGUACGAUGGUUCUAAUCAGAUUUUUUCUAAUCCACCAUUUCAGGUGUUAUUACGAGUCAUUGUAGGUCCUGUUUCCUGGAUUUGUUGUACAGUAGGUUGUUCUUUUUUCUUUUUCUGCUUAUACUCCUGUUUGUGCAGUACUUUAUGGAUCAAAGAAAAAUGUCUUGAUUAUGUUAAUUGGGUGAAGGAUGACAAGCUUUUUCAUUUGCUGGUCCAGAUAACGUUGUCAUCAUGGGGGCACACUUUUCCAAGAUUGAAGUUGCAGUACAAGCCCUCAUUUUAGCGCCAGGUCACACAAUAUGAUUUAUGUUGCCCUACAUGUUGUAGUGGUGUUUUCUGCAUUGCCAGCUACUUCAGGGAUAGUUAGUUGAAAGGAUCUCUUUUCUUCACUGUGCGGAUGUGUUAAAGAACUUCAUUCUCAAUUUGUUAACUCAAGAGACUGAUUACUCUUAAGCUUUUGCUAAAGGAC
rnacentral:lncRNA from 1 species